AAUAACAUAAUUACAAUCAUGAUUGUAUGCAGGUUGUAGAGAUCUCAUUUGUACACCCAUUAUUGUAAUCUGGCUGUUGAAUUUCAAACAGUUCUUUUUUUACCCACUGUGCAACUGCUUCCCAGGAGGUCAUGCCUAGGUUUUUCUAGGUUGACAAGCGCUGCCACCGUCCACAGGGGGCAUGGGAUAGUCAGGAGCAUAUCGAACAAGACGCACAGAUGGCUCCUAUGUGGCUCCUAUUCAGAUGUUGACAAAAAAUAUCCCCACUGGACCAAUGAGCAGAAGCUGAAAGGGGCGUUGGCAGACUACAAUAUGGGGCCUGGCAGCAUCUCCUCAUAUGAGGAGGUGGACACGAAAACCACUGGAGGGGACUAUUCAAAUCAAAUUAAUUUAUAGAGCCCUUCUUACAUCAGCUGAUAUCUUGAAGUGCUGUACAAAAACCCAGCCUAAAAUUCCAAACAGCAAGCAAUGCAGGUGUAGAAGCACGGUGGCUAGGAAAAACUCUCUAGAAAGGCCAGAACCUAAGAAGAAACCUAGGUCAGCACCUCAGGAGUAAAUGUCAGUUGGCUUUUCAUAGCCGCUCCUGCUGUCUCUAGACGAGAGAGAGAGAGAGAGAGAGAGAGAGAGAGAGAGAGAGAGAAAUUCACACAGUACAUAUAUAACAGACUGAACCUAGCCCCCUGACACAUAAACUAUAGCAGCAUAAAUACUGGAGGCUGAGACUGGAGGGGUCAGGGGACACUGUGGCCCCAUCCAACGAUAUAACCUCACCCACUUUGCCAUAGCACAGCCUCCACACCACUAGAGGGAUACCUUCAACCACCAACUUACCAUCCUGAGACAAGGCCGAGUAUAGCCCACAAAGAUCUACACCACGGCACAACCCAAGGGGGGGUGCCAACCCAGACAGGAAGAUCACGUCAGUGACUCAACCCAUCAAGUGACGCACCCCUCCUAGGGACGGCAUAGAAGAGCACCAGUAAGCCAGUGACUCAGCCCAUGUAAUAGGGUUAGAGGCAGAGAAUCCCAGUGGAGAGAGAGAAAUCGGCCAGGCAGAGACAGCAAGGGUGGAUUGUUGCUCCAGUGCCUUUCCGUUCACCUUCACACUCCUGGGCCAGACUACACUCAAUCAUAGGACCUACUGAAGAGAUGAGUCUUCAAUAAAGACUUAAAGGUUGAGACCGAGUCUGCGUCUCUCACAUGGGUAGGCAGACCAUUCCAUAAAAAUGGUGCUCUAUAGGAGAAAGCCCUGCCUCCAGCAGUUUGCUUAGAAAUUCUUGGGACAAUAAGGAGGCCUGGGUCUUGUGACCGUAGCGUAUGUGUAGUAUUGUACGGCAGGACCAAAUCAGAAAGAUAGGUAGGAGCAAGCCCUUCUAAUGCUUUGUAGGUUAGCAGUAAAACCUUGAAAUCAGCUUGUUCAAGCUGUCCUUGAAAAAGGCUUGACUAUUCCAAUUAUGUUGUGGCCAGAGCUUAAUAUUUCAAAAAGCAUGGCUAUUAAAGACUCACAGGCUGACUGGCAGUCUGUCAUUCCAAGGAAAUAGAAUCACAUCUUCUGUUUUUGAGUUCUGCCAUAAACUCCUAUUAAAUCUUUGGAUUACAAUUGAAUUUUAUGUUCAUAAACAAUAGUUGUAAUCUGUAGGAUAUUACAGACAUUAUUAUAUUGUAUUGCUUUUUGCACAUGUUCAUGCAAUAAUUUCUAACAUUAUAGUUCACUUCACUUUCUGAUAAAGAUCAUCAUCAUCAUGUAAUAAGUAAUGUUUUACAACAAUGUUUUACAUUACACAUCACACAAGUGCCUAAUAAAACGCAUUAUAAACCUACAA